GCCCCUCCCUCGCCGGCGGUCCUGAAUUCCAGGCGGCGUUGCUCGUGGGAAGUCCCGACGGGAGCUGCGCGUGGGGCGCUUCCCGGUGGACUACGACGCGUCCACGAGCUACUGCGCGGCGUUUUCCAUGGUGAGCCUGCCGUCGCCGCGGUUCCUCUCCCCAUCCGGCAGGGAACGAGCGGGUGGCGUACCAGGCCGCGCGAACACUCUCCGGCUUGGUGGAUCCUUUAGAAACCUUGGCUCCGUUCUUGUGAGCAUCGUGGUCUAGUGUUGAUUCAUGUUGCUGCAAUCUUAGCAUAUUCACUUGUUUGUUUACACAAAUCCAAGCUCUGUCAUCAGAUUUCAGCCGCCAAGCCGAGGAUAUUGGCAGAGCUGAUUCUUUAGCUCAAUUUUGUUCAUGUAGAGAUCAAGGAUGGACGGCGAUGUUCAAAAAAUUAAGUGGAACUGAAGAUGUGUCUUACUCCUGGGUACACAAUGAACUGUAGAGUUACAUCGCAUGUUGUGGUCUUCAGCGCCGGGCUGCCUAGUACGAUAGAAAUACAAACAUCAACGCGUUGUCUAGUCGAGCUGAUCUAGCUAAAUAAUUUGCACCGACUAAUGUAAUUUUUAUUAAAUGUUCACAUAUUGAUUUCUUAAUUUUUGAUAUGCACGGGAUGCCUGAAAUAUGUAAACACAUGUGUGCAUGGACACAUAUAUAUGUUUAUUCAAAUGGAGAUCUUACUCUAGCCGUACUUGUAAAACUUGCAUUGUGUAAUCAGGCCAUCCUUGCUAUUCGUAUGGGCAUUAAACUUUUACAUCACC